UGCCGCGACGGUUGUUUACCUUUUGCCGACGCAGAAUGGCACAAAAAAUCUAUUCCGCGGUGCUUACGGACUCGGUGUUGAUGAUUGCAGGAGCAUUGUGAAUUACAAAUGAUGUUUUAAACGCCUCGGGAAACCAGACAGAGUGGAGGAAUGCACGCUGGACGUCAUCUGGUGCAACUGCAAAAUCCUGAUUCGCCACCUAUGCACGGAAUCUCAUCACGAAUGUUUUCUGGCUGAAUACGGUUGAGGACUAGAAUGCCAAAUACACGACGGAAACACGCAGUGGCGUUACCCAUUAGUCCAUUACGGCAAAAAUGACCAUAUAUACGGUAUCAGGAAGUCUUGCAGCAGUUCUAAGAGGAGAUACGCGCAGCAAUUCAGCAA